ACAGAACAAAGAGAAUAUCCUGGGUCAGGGUUAGUGUUAACUUCUCCUGGUUUUCCAUUCAGUGGAUUUAAUCUUUGUGGACUGUGGAAGGAUCUAAAGGAGAACAGAGCAGAACCUCCAGGAUCCAGUUGUCAGUCUAUGAGGAGUGACUGGUCCAGGGAUUAAACCUACAGACUUCAAUAAAGAACCUGGACCUUCAGAAUCAGAGCUGACUGAAGUCCAGAAGAUGGAGGAUUGUGAUCUAAAGGAGGACAGAGCAGAACCUCCAGGAUCCAGCUGUCCAUCUAUGAGGAGUGACUGGUCCAGAGAAAAACCUCCAGACUUCAGUGAAGAACCUGGACCCUCAGAAGGUCAGAACCACAGACAGAGAGCAGAACCUCCAGGAUCCAGCUGUCCGUCUAUGAGGAGUGACCGGUCCAAAGGAAAACCUCCAUUCUUCAGUGCUGAACCUGGACCCUCAGACUCAGAAACAGGAGCUGGACUGCUGGCAGCCAAUCAGAGCAGCUGUGCUCCAGGUGAGACUGAACAUCUCCAAUCAGAACUUCCUUC